rnacentral:rRNA from 1 species
UGGGGAAUAUUGCACAAUGGGCGCAAGCCUGAUGCAGCAACGCCGCGUGAACGAUGAAGGUCUUCGGAUCGUAAAGUUCUGUUGCAGGGGAAGAUAAUGACGGUACCCUGUGAGGAAGCCCCGGCUAACUACGUGCCAGCAGCCGCGGUAAUACGUAGGGGGCUAGCGUUAUCCGGAUUUACUGGGCGUAAAGGGUGCGUAGGUGGUCUUUCAAGUCGGUGGUUAAAGGCUACGGCUCAACCGUAGUUAGCCUCCGAAACUGGAAGACUUGAGUGCAGGAGAGGAAAGUGGAAUUCCCAGUGUAGCGGUGAAAGGCGUAGAUAUUGGGAGGAACACCAGUAGCGAAGGCGGCUUUCUGGACUGCAACUGACACUGAGGCACGAAAGCGUGGGUAGCAAACAGG